AUUGAACGCUGGCGGCAUGCUUUACACAUGCAAGUCGAACGGUAACAGGCCUUCGGGCGCUGACGAGUGGCGAACGGGUGAGUAAUGCAUCGGAACGUGCCCAGUCGUGGGGGAUAACGCAGCGAAAGCUGUGCUAAUACCGCAUACGAUCUGUGGAUGAAAGCGGGGGACCUUCGGGCCUCGCGCGAUUGGAGCGGCCGAUGUCAGAUUAGGUAGUUGGUGGGGUAAAGGCUCACCAAGCCAACGAUCUGUAGCUGGUCUGAGAGGACGACCAGCCACACUGGGACUGAGACGCGGCCCAGACUCCUACGGGAGGCAGCAGUGGGGAAUUUUGGACAAUGGGCGCAAGCCUGAUCCAGCAAUGCCGCGUGCAGGAAGAAGGCCUUCGGGUUGUAAACUGCUUUUGUACGGAACGAAACGGUCCUGGUUAAUACCUGGGGCUAAUGACGGUACCGUAAGAAUAAGCACCGGCUAACUACGUGCCAGCAGCCGCCGUAACAC
rnacentral:rRNA from 1 species